rnacentral:rRNA from 1 species
GAUGAACGCUGGCGGCGUGCCUAAUACAUGCAAGUCGAGCGAACGGACGAGAAGCUUGCUCCCCUGAUGUUAGCGGCGGACGGGUGAGUAACACGUGGAUAACCUACCUAUAAGUCUGGGAUAAUUUCGGGAAACCGGUGCUAAUACCGGAUAAUAUGUUGAACCGCAUGGUUCAAAAGUGAAAGACGGUCUUGCUGUUACUUAUAGACGGAUCCGCGCUGGAUUAGCUAGUUGGUAAGGUAACGGCUUACCAAGGCGACGAUGCAUAGCCGACCUGAGAGGAUGAUCAGCCACACUGGAACUGAGACACGGUCCAGACUCCUACGGGAGGCAGCAGUAGGGAAUCUUCCACAAUGGGCGAAAGCCUGACGGAGCCACGCCGCGUGAGUGAUGAAGGUCUUCGGGUCGUAAAGCUCUGUUGUUAGGGAAGAACAUAUGUGUAAGUAACUGUGCACGUCUUGACGGUACCUAAUCAGAAAGCCACGGCUAACUACGUG